GAUGAACGCUGGCGGCGUGCCUAAUACAUGCAAGUCGAGCGAACGGACGAGAAGCUUGCUUCUCUGAUGUUAGCGGCGGACGGGUGAGUAACACGUGGAUAACCUACCUAUAAGACUGGGAUAACUUCGGGAAACCGUAGCUAAUACCGGAUAAUAUUUUGAACCGCAUGGUUCAAAAGUGAAAGACGGUCUUGCUGUCACUUAUAGAUGGAUCCGCGCUGCAUUAGCUAGUUGGUAAGGUAACGGCUUACCAAGGCAACGAUGCAUAGCCGACCUGAGAGGGUGAUCGGCCACACUGGAACUGAGACACGGUCCAGACUCCUGCGGGAGGCAGCAGUAGGGAAUCUUCCGCAAAGGGCGAAAGCCUGACGGAGCAACGCCGCGUGAGUGAUGAAGGUCUUCGGAUCGUAAAACUCUGUUAUUAGGGAAGAACAUAUGUGUAAGUAACUGUGCACAUCUUGACGGUACCUAAUCAGAAAGCCACGGCUAACUACGUG
rnacentral:rRNA from 1 species